AUUGGUGUUGUACCGCGUUCCGUUAAAUACAUUGAAAUAUAUACAUUUUAUCACUAGAUAAUUCUGUCGCCGUUUUACCGAUGUACGCUGGCGUUGAUGCACCGGUUGUUGUUGCCUACCCCCCCCCCCCUUUUUUUUUUCUUUCUGUCUUUCUUAGUAAGGAAGCCAGCUACUUUUGAAACGACCAGCUCCAUAAUUCCUACUGAUAUUUAUCAGGAAAGAUGCAAGCUGUGCGUGAACAUGUCGAACGCCAAAAAAAAAAAAUGUUUUGAAGUUCAGCUGACCUUCAAAUCCUUUUGGGAAUGCGAUG